AACGAACGCUGGCGGCAGGCUUAACGCAUGCAAGUCGAGCGCCCCGCAAGGGGAGCGGCAGACGGGUGAGUAACGCGUGGGAAUCUACCCAUCCCUACGGAAUAACGCAUGGAAACGUGUGCUAAUACCGUAUACGCCCUUUGGGGGAAAGAUUUAUCGGGGAUGGAUGAGCCCGCGUUGGAUUAGCUAGUUGGUGGGGUAAAGGCCUACCAAGGCGACGAUCCAUAGCUGGUCUGAGAGGAUGAUCAGCCACAUUGGGACUGAGACACGGCCCAAACUCCUACGGGAGGCAGCAGUGGGGAAUAUUGGACAAUGGGCGCAAGCCUGAUCCAGCCAUGCCGCGUGAGUGAUGAAGGCCCUAGGGUUGUAAAGCUCUUUCACCGGUGAAGAUAAUGACGGUAACCGGAGAAGAAGCCCCGGCUAACUUCGUGCCAGCAGCCGCAGUAAGAC
rnacentral:rRNA from 1 species